rnacentral:lncRNA from 1 species
CAUCUAGAGUCUUUUCUUGAUUCUUGACUUGCUUCUCCUAUUGACUUUACAGUGAAACUUGAUGAUGUCGAUGCAACAAACUAUGAAAUAUUCUUUCAUGCUUGUUUCUUGAUCAGAUGAUAAGAAGAUGAAUCUUGAAAUUCUACGUCUCUGCAUGCAUUAUGUAAAAACUGGUUCGGUCGUCAUUAAGAUCAGACGUUCCAUUUUCUCAAGCUAGAGCUGGAAUCUUAU